rnacentral:rRNA from 1 species
CACGUAGGAGGCGAGCGUUGUCCGGAAUCAUUGGGCGUAAAGAGCGCGCAGGCGGCUUGGCAAGUCGGGUGUGAAAGUCCCGGGGCUCAACCCCGUGACUGCAUCCGAUACUGUCAGGCUAGAGGUAGGUAGGGGAGAUCGGAAUUCCUGGUGUAGCGGUGAAAUGCGCAGAUAUCAGGAGGAACACCGGUGGCGAAGGCGGAUCUCUGGGCCUUACCUGACGCUCAGGCGCGAAAGCUAGGGGAGCGAACAGG